CACCAGGUUGAUUCUGCCUGACGUGGAUGCUAGUUUGCGAGACUAAGCCAUGCAUGCUUGCGAAGUGCGUUGUGUGCGGAGCGGCAGACGGCUCAGUAAUACUGCGAUGAUUUGUUCGGGGAGGCCGUGUAGCCGCGGGAAACUGUGGGUAGGCGGCUGGGCUGCACUGGGUUGCUGGGGCGGUGUCUGAGUAAGUUGCAGCCCUAUUAGCUGGUAGCUAGGGUAAUGGCCUAGCUAGGCGAUGAUGGGAGACGGGGAAUUUGGGUUUGGUUCCGGAGAGGGAGCCUGAGAGAUGGCUACUACGUCCAAGGACGGCAGCAGGCGCGGAACUUGCCGAAUCCUUUUGGGAGGCAGUUAGCAAGCGUUGGGUUUGUUUGGAAUUGCAAAGAGAUUCCUUGAGAUUGGAGGGCAAGUCGGGUGCCAGCAGCCGCGGUAAUACCUGCUCCAAGAGUGUCUAUGGUGGAUGCUGCAGUUAAAAGGUUCGUAGUUGUGUUGCUUGCGCAUGUUUUGUGUGCCUGUGUGUGUGGCGGGCUGUGGAUGUGUGCGGCGAUGUGCGCAACAGACGGGGGGCACUGGAUAGUUGGGCGAGAGGUGAAAUGCGACGACCCUGACUGGACAGACGGAGGCGAAGGCGGUGCUCUUGGAUGGAUGUGAGGAUCAAGAACGAAGGCUGGAGGAUCGAAAUCGAUUAGAUACCGUUUUAGUUCCAGCAGUAAACGAUGCCGACUGGAUGGUGUGUGUUGCACUGUGCGCGAGAAAUCUGUGAGUGUGUGGGCUCUGGGGAUAGUAUGAUCGCAAGAGGGAAACUUAAAGAGAUU
rnacentral:rRNA from 1 species